AUUGAACGCUGGCGGCAUGCCUUACACAUGCAAGUCGAACGGCAGCACGGGGCAACCUGGUGGCGAGUGGCGAACGGGUGAGUAAUGCAUCGGAACGUACCUUUCAGUGGGGGAUAAUGUAGCGAAAGUUACGCUAAUACCGCAUAUUCUGUGAGCAGGAAAGCAGGGGAUCGCAAGACCUUGCGCUGAUUGAGCGGCCGAUGUCAGAUUAGCUAGUUGGGGAGGUAAAGGCUCACCAAGGCGACGAUCUGUAGCGGGUCUGAGGGGAUGAUCCGCCACACUGGAACUGAGACACGGUCCAGACUCCUACGGGAGGCAGCAGUGGGGAAUUUUGGACAAUGGGGGCAACCCUGAUCCAGCCAUGCCGCGUGAGGGAAGAAGGCCUUCGGGUUGUAAAGCUCUUUCGGCCGGGAAGAAAUCGCACGGGCUAAUACCCUGUGUGGAUGACGGUACCGGAAUAAGAAGCACCGGCUAACUACGUGCCAGCAGCCGCCGUAA
rnacentral:rRNA from 1 species